UACGUAGGGGGCGAGCGUUGUCCGGAUUUAUUGGGCGUAAAGAGCUCGUAGGCGGUUUGUCGCGUCUGCCGUGAAAGUCCGGGGCUCAACUCCGGAUCUGCGGUGGGUACGGGCAGACUAGAGUGAUGUAGGGGAGACUGGAAUUCCUGGUGUAGCGGUGGAAUGCGCAGAUAUCAGGAGGAACACCAAUGGCGAAGGCAGAUCUCUGGGCCGUAACUGACGCUGAGGAGCGAAAGCAUGGGGAGCGAACAGG
rnacentral:rRNA from 1 species